rnacentral:rRNA from 1 species
GAUGAACGCUAGCGAUAGGCUUAACACAUGCAAGUCGAGGGGCAGCGAGGGUAGCAAUACCUGUCGGCGACCGGCGCACGGGUGAGUAACGCGUAUGUAACCUGCCCGCAACAGGGGGAUAACCCGGCGAAAGUCGGACUAAUACCGCAUAAAACAGGGGUCCCGCAUGGGAAUAUUUGUUAAAGAUUUAUCGGUUGCGGAUGGGCAUGCGUACCAUUAGGUAGUUGGUGAGGUAACGGCUCACCAAGCCUUCGAUGGUUAGGGGUUCUGAGAGGAAGGUCCCCCACACUGGUACUGAGACACGGACCAGACUCCUACGGGAGGCAGCAGUGAGGAAUAUUGGUCAAUGGGCGAGAGCCUGAACCAGCCAAGUCGCGUGAAGGAUGACUGCCCUAUGGGUUGUAAACUUCUUCUACAAGGGAAUAAAAUGAGAUACGUGUAUUUUAUUGCAUGUACCUUGGGAAUAAGCAUCGGCUAACUCCGUG